AAAAGGUGUGAACUGCUGUCUUAAUUUUCAUGCAUUGUGGUUAUAUCUGUAGUCGUAGAUGUUGCAGAUCUCCUGAGCUGGGCUGUGCCUUGACCGGGGGAAUUUCCAGCGAGGAAAACAAACUCACAUUGCAGAAGAAAGCUAAACAGUGCACAAACCUUUGACUUCGUCAGGAUAUCAGCGAGAGAGGAAAGGCUACUUUCUCUUUCUGUCAUGCGAAUAUUCUGUAAAACACUACCAGAACAUUACAUCAAACCUCCCAAACAGCCCCAUUUACGGCCAACUGGACGAAAACUCAUCUGAAAACAAAAACGCAAGAGGACAGCAUAUAUUGUUCUUCACUGUGACUUUAAUAUUAAGCACGGAGAUAUUUAUCACGGCUUUACGACUUUUCCGAGGAUAUUCACAGAAUCUCAACCAACCGACGGGACAAGCAGGAAUCGCAAGUUGUGACUUGCUUGAUCAAGAACUGAAACGAAGUGCACAGCAGAGACUGUUGCUGGACAUACAACAUUCUGUAUUGGAGACUUUAUUAGGAUUUGUACAAGAGGACAGCGUCCUCCUGUCCAGCGCCAGUGAUACUCCCUGCUAGAGUGACAGGUCUGGUGAACAGCUCUAUUCCAGCCACCAGGGGGCGCUGUUUCGCUUAGAAAAGGGCGACAGUCUCUCACUACAUCAGCACCGUGAGAUUUCCACACGAGGCCACUUUCUUCGGGGCCUCCCUGAUUAACUAAAUCACAACAAGCGGAACAACUUUUAUGUUGUUUUUCUUCUUUUCGACAGAUUGAAAUCUGAUUCAAAGCUAUUGACAUAAAACUAAUAAAUAUUUUUAUAUUACCAAAACAGCGAAUGUUAUCCACAUCAUGGCUUAAUAAAGCUUCCAAGGUCUCAUUACUUUGUUUUAAACACCUUAAUGCAGAUUAACACAUAUAAUCUAUCUCAUUAGUAUUUUGAUAUUUUGCCUCAUAGAACAAGACAGGGUGCUGUCUGUGGACCUAUGUGUGAUAUGCAUUGCUUAAUUCAGUCCUCAAACACCUCUUCAUUCAUAUUUCAAAAUCCAGGAUGGGAUAUGCACAGGUUCACAAAAUCCUCUAGUCCACUCUCGAUAUGACUACUUCAGCACUUCACCAGUCGUCUACCAAUUCAAUAGGCUGAAUCAAAAAAUUAAGCAUUAACUGUUCAUUUUCUUCAACAUUAUAUGUUCCAUUACAUGGAAAUUUUGGUAACACUUUACAAUAAGCUUCCAUUAGUUUCCAUGAACGAACAAUGAACAACACUUUUACCGCAUUUAUUCAUCUUAAUGUUAAUUAAAACAAAUACUCAUACAUUUUAAAAAUCAGUUGUAUUAGUUAACAUUACUUAAUGCACUAUGAACAUUGAACAAUUGUAUUUAUCAACAAAGAUUUAUAAAUGCUGUAAAAAACACAUUGUUAAUAGGUGUUCGUGAUACCCACUCCAUUAACUAAUGUUAACGAAUGGAAACUUUUUGUAACAUUACCAAAAUGUUAAUUCAAAAUUAUUUAAUUAUUUCUGUUAAUAACCGAUAUCCAUUAUUUUUUGAUUAUUGAUAAUAAUAGUUUGUGUAACAGCUUUCAUGUAGGGUACAACGGGGCUAAAGCAUGGAAAAAAGGCCCCCUCGCUACCUUUUUUUAAAAACUGAAUUUUAAUCAAAACAACCUUCUGUUAUUUAUUUUCACAGAAAUGAUGUUGCUCUAUUAAUAUUAGAUAAAAGGAACUCUUUU